AGUGCAUCUAAAAUGACGUCUGAAUAUUUUUUUCAGCAAUGGACAGCUCGAAGUCCCACACUAGAGCCAGGCGGAUACGGCAUCAGGAAACUACGGAACUUACGGACGACGAUCAGCCGGAUAGGCCGUUAAAGUACAAGGUUGAAAAUAUUAGGGUUGAGGUACUAGAUCACUGUGACGCAAUCCGGCAUUACAAACGAUUGCAACGGGAAGCUGGUCUGCCGACUCAGGUGCUUGGAUUUAAUUUUCCCAUUGCUGACGAAGAUACGGUGGAACUGCUGGAGGCCACGGUCAACGUAAACGAGGAUGUACGGACGGAUUAUAUCAACUACUUGCGAGCGAGGAAGCCUGCUACUGUUGGGCUUAUCAAUGUGUUUCAUAUGCUGUUCACCGAUGAAGCGAUGUACAGUUACAACUAUUCUGGCGUUUGCAAUCGAGGAUCGAAGCGUAAAGCUAUGCAGCACUACAGUAUUUUCAUGGGGUGCAUGCUUGAGGCUUGGGAAGAUCACGGUUUAGAUGAAACCACUCUCAAGGAAAAUAUUUAUCAGGUGAUUCGCAAUAUAAAUGGACGCAAGAGGAAUCGUAAGUAUUUCGCCAAGCGGCGAGAACAAGAACGGAUGAAAAAAUUGGCAUCGGAAAAAGAAUAACAGUGUUAUUGUUCAUCACUAGAGAUAUACUGUUUAUGUGAUUGAAUUAAUUACUGCUAUUUUGAAAGGGAACGGGUGGAUGUUUUAGUGAAAUAUACCACAUGUCCCUUUAUAUUUGUACAAGAGCUCAGAAGUAGUAAAAUGAGUGUUACUUUUCAAUUACAGUGUUGCUUUUACUGGCAUAAAAAAUAUAUAAGUUCUUUUUAUCCAGGUUCUCCCUAGUUGCCCAAUUACUAAAAAACGAUUUGUAAUUUACAAAAGGAUACAAUAAUAAUAAAAAAAAUCUUGUUAACUUAUGUGGAAAGUUGUCAUUAGAAUUUAUUUUGAGAAAGGUUGAUCAUUUGUCAUUUUUUUAUUGUUUGAUUAAAACUUUUUUAGGGUUGUAUUUAGGUCCCAUGAUGAUCUUGUAGCAUACUACUGAAACUUUUAUACCACCAAUCCAUACAAAAAAAAGUUUGUUUGGAAAAAAUUGGCUCAUUCAUCUUUUUAGCUUUAGUUGGAAAUUUGUGUCCUUAUGUAUGUGAAGUAAGAUGUUUGAAUUGAAAAGUAAAGUUAGUACCGAGAGAUGAGAAGUGAGAUGAAUGUGAGAUGUUCGAAAGUAAUUAGUGAGAAGUGAGAAGCGAGACUUGAGAAGUGAGACGAAAAGAAGAAGGAAGAAUGAACAUAGAAUGAGGGAGGAUAAUAGGAAGAGAGAAGCAAGUAAUACGAAGAUAGCAAAAGGAAGGAGAGAGCAGGUAAAAGAAAACAGAAGAAAGUAGAAGGAAGAAAAUGAAAAAUGAAACGAGGAAAGAAGAAGUAAGAAGCAAGAAGAAAAAAGGGAUAAGAAUAAUUGAACCGUUUGUUUGAGAAACUGCAUAUGUAACAUUUUAGCCAAAAUGAGAUUUUUAUAUUUUCUGAAUCCUUGUCCAAAAAUACAUAUUCUGGCAAAAAAAACGAAAAAAAAAUUUUUGUUCAGGAAUGUAUGAAAAAAAAUUCGUUUGUUUGAGAAACUACAUAUGUCCACGUACUUUGAAGAGCAAUUGUGGAGUACUGCUUACAUUUUUUGCACUGAAAAUGCCCCAGGGUGUUGAGUUUUGCCAAAAACUAUUGAUCUGUAUCGAAGAAAUCGAAAGAUUCGGUGCAAAUUUGUUAAAAAACAGUUUUUUGCUGUUUUCUCGAAAUAGUCCAAAAUGGACUUAUGCAGUUUCUCAAACAAAUGAUUAAAUUCUCCUCUUCUCUUCUCUUUCCAAGGGCCCCCCUUUCGGUGAUGGUGACAAUGCGUAUUAAUUAUUUGCAAAGUUGCUCCAUUUUGCAUGAUUUGUCGAGAAAUCAUAAAACUUUUUUUGCACGGAUUUUCAAAUUUUGAACUAAAAACUUUUUUUACACGGAACGCAUCCCCCGUGUAAAAAAAGAAUCGGGUGUACUCAUAUCUCAUUCCGCAUUUGUGACUUCCGACUUCUUACUUCAAAUUUAUCAUGUAAAGUGUGAAAUAUCUCAUUCCUAGUUUCUCACUUUGCAAAUUUCACUACCUACUUACUUCUUACUUCUCUUUUUCCAACACUUGCAUUGCCAUUAUACGCAUAAUUGUCCCAUGUAUAUAAGGAAUCCCAGCAAACAUGGGACAAAUAUGCGUAUGACGGCAGUGCAGUCUGAGGAAAAAAAUCUGCACCUAUUCGGCCAAUCGGUGUUCUGACAAACUGCUUAUCCAAGAAUUCUGGUCAAUUUCUUAUACCCAUCGGCCUCAUAAAUUCUGAAUAAUUCCUGGUUCUAGCUUUUUGCGGAAAUUCUUCCGCAGAAAUUUUGGAAAUUUCAUUCUAUAACAAUCGUGGGGAAUUCUCGUCAUGAUUAGCAAAUUAAGUACUAAAUUAGAAUUUUUAUUUAUAGUAUUUUCUGGAAUUAGUAUAAAACCAAAUAUUAUGCUCGUUGAUGCUUAUCGUGAUUAGCGCAGGAAAAAAAAUAAAAUAAAAGAAAAACUUGAAGCGCGUUGAUCAACGCUGCCGCCGAAAACGACUGUGACGUGGCGCUGCCACUUGAAUCCUUGAAUAGGAAUCCUGCCCAAGGAAUCCUUGAAUAGUCUUUAUUCCACCCUGUCUUCUAAUGCUCUUAUGCCAAUUCUUCCUUUUUCUGAUUGGAACAUUGGCUUGUUCUCCGAGCUUAACAUCUCCCUUUUAUAGCAUCUCCCUCUAUGAUCAUAUCCUCGAGCUGAAGACCCAACAAACAAUUUAUGCUGAACAAGCUACAUAGUUUCUUUGUUCCAAAUAGGAGUGCUACUGGAACAUACAUUCCAGCAGACGUACACAUUAUCUUUUAUUUAUAUAGAUUGAUGCCAAUUACUAUUUUCACAGAUGUUUAUUGACGACCGUAUCAAAUAUAUUAACAUUUCGAAGUGGCUAACUCAUCCACUACUUUUAGAAUUAAUUGAAUUAUAACAGUCCUAGUAUAUAUCAUCAGAAAUAAAGAUUUCUACAAACAAAAUUAUCAUGAAUUUUAUUCAAUUUUCUAACAAAAAAAUACUAUUGUUUGUCAAACUAACAAUCUAUAACACCGUUUUUCUUCUUAGCAACGAUUUGCAACAGUCUCAUGGAACCAACGAUCAAAAUCGAAGAAGACAGCAAUGAUUUUGAUGAGUAUGCUUUCUACUCGGAACACAACGUUAAGUCAGACGGCAGUGGUGAAGACACCAAACAGGACCUUCUAAUUGCCACAUCUAAGCAAUCAUCCACAAGGCUACAGAUUGAGGAUCUGUUUCAAAUCUCAAGUGUCUGCAGUCAGAAUAGAAACCUUCUGAAGCAACCCUUUCCCAUCCAAACUGUGAACGAACUGAACGAGCUUGACACCCUACUGCUGGGAAAUCCCAGUUUCAUGGAAAAAUGCGCACAAAUGUUACACAACGCCAUACAAAACGAAGCGCUGGAAAACGUAACCGGACACAUGCGGCUCCUGCUGGAGUUUGCCAUUGAUUACUCGGUACUGCUGAAAUACAGCUGGUUUGGAUUUCUGCCGAGAUCGCCCAUUGCCCGGGGCAUGGGCGAACAGCAACCUUUCAGGAAUCUCAUCGGUGUCAUCCAUUUGCUGCACCGGUCCAGACGUUUGCGCUUCGGCAAGUGCAGCCUGGAGGAGAUCCACGAAGGCAUCGAAAAGUUCCUCAAACGAAAACUGCGUUGCCAUGCGCUUUUUGUCAAAAAGCAAACCUACGUCAUUCAAGGGACUGGGUAACCUAUGCCAAAGAAAUAUGUAACGGAUGCCAAAAUAUGUGAAAACUAAAGCUAGUCCUAGAGAUUUAUUGGAAAAGAUCUUGUUUGCCAUCAAAGAACCACGCAGAAUUUACCUUAGUUUAUACAACAGUAUUAUAAUACUCUUCUGUGUAGAAUUCAACAACUCACGAUGCCAUAUGUACUCUUAUUCUCUCCAAUGAGAAUGCAUUGGGGUGCUUCAGAAGCACCUGACCCUAGUCAGUUCGUAACCAAUGCUUUGUGGAGAUAAAUCGACGUUCAGAAGCCAAAUAACUUAAUAUUUAGAAUUAAGUUUUAUUUAUUUUCUCAGAAUGCCAAAUAUUAACAUAUAAAAACCAAAGUA